rnacentral:rRNA from 1 species
AUGGAGUUAUCACCUGUUCCUGCUAAGAAAGCCACCGUGCCGGCCUACCAGGCCGCCGACUUCAGCUACGUGUUCACCAGCUUCCACGGCGAACCGUGCGUGUACGACCGCGUCCUCGCCGCCCACGGCAAGCCGGUGCUCGUCACGGGCCCGGUCGUGCCGGAGCCGCCGCAGGGCGAGCUCGAGGAGCGGUGGGCCAAGUGGCUCUCCUCCUUCCCGGACAACGCCGUCGUGUUCGCCUCCUUCGAGAGCGAGACGUUCCUCCCGUCCGCCGCCGCGACGGAGCUCCUCCUCGGCCUAGAAUCCACCAACCGACCGUUCUUCGCCAGGAGGACCAAGGGCAAGGACGUGGUGCACACGGGGUGGGUGCAGCAGCAGCACAUCCUGCGGCACCGCAGCGUGGGGUGCUUCGUGAACCACGCCGGGCUGAGCUCCGUGGUGGAGGGGCUCGUGGCCGGUGGCCGGCUGCCGCCUGGUGCUGCUGCCGAUGAAGGGCGACCACGAGGAUGCGUUCUCCAAAACUCUGGCCUCAUGUCGACGUGCGCCACCGCCCACUCGCAGCAUCGUCCACCUGCAGCCAUCCGCUCUGUGUAUAGCCAUUAA